AUUCUCUCAUUCUCUCUCUCUCUCUCUCUCUCAUUUUCUCUCUCUCUAAGAUCCUUCGCCGUUCGUCGUCCGUUUCCAAAACGGAGGGUACUGCGUGGAUCAGAAGAGGAAACUCUACACUUUUAGUGGAUCGGAUCGUCGUUUCGGAGAGUUUCGGGUUUUCCCAAGAAUCGAGGUCCGUCCGUGCGUCGGUCCUAGUAGAUAAAGGGACUGGGGAGGUUAUUUUGGUUAACUUACGUAAGCAUCUAAAUUUUGUACUAAACUUGAUGAAAGUCCUUUUUGGAGGGUUGUAAUAUGACAAUUACUCUAAGUCCGAAUGUAUGUAAAUUAUGGAUGUAUUAGUAAACUCUGGUAUAAGGCUAGUAAUAAUCCCAAUGGAUGUUUAUGUUUUUCCGCGA